AGAGGAGGGGGAUUGUGCCAUCACGAGUGACGGACAAGGAGUGUAUGAGCGUGUGCGUGAGGGGCCUGGACGCAGGGCUAGGAGGGCGUGUGGAUACUGAGCGCGCUUUGCUGUGGCUGUUUGAAUAUCACUGUGCUGGUGGCCUUCGGCUCCUGCUGCUUCCUUGGUCUUCUCUCAGCCAUAGGGGCUGAGCAGAGAUAAGGCCCCACUAGGGAGGUCAGAUAUUGAGCCUAGGAUUGAAGCUUUCAGCAGGAAGUCACGGGCCUGGACUUGGAUGCGGAUCUGAGAGCUGAAAGUGCCCCCAGGGUCCUCCAGGAGGGUAGCCACACGUGGAGAACCACAGUGUCAUAAGAGCUCUGUCCCCAGGAGCCAGCUGAUAACGCUGAUCGAUUCCUCCUCCUUUUACUUCCUCUUCAUUUUGUGUCAAGUGAGAGAAGGUGUGGCCAUGGAAGGUGCUUUCAGACUUAGUUUGCACUCCUAGAAAAUCCUGGAGUUUCGCGCUUACCAUAUCCUUUCUUAGUUGUACUGUGAUCCAAAGGAAGGACCUAGAAGAGAAUGAGAGCAUCAUUACUGCACACCUAAAAGUCAAGGGGAUCAGUGACGUUGAGGGAUGUGGCCAUCAACUUCUCUCAGGAGGAGCUGGACCCAGCACAAAGGAACUUAUACAGGGAUUCAAUGUUAGAGAACUACAGUAACUUGGUCUCAGUGGGUUGCAAGCCCAAACUUCACAAGUUCUUCGGCUAUGAUCUAAAGUUGCUGCUGGCAUAGCGAGGGCACAAGGGAGCCUAGAUGCCAAGCAUCAGAAUGUUAUACUUGUUGAAGAUUUUUUUCAUAAAAUUUUUUGUCUUUUAUUUAUGUACUUGUGUCGUUGAGCUCGCGCUUCUACUCCUGGUCACAGAGACAGCACUCGGCGGAAGUGGGUGCCCCAUAGACACCUCCCACCCAGCCAAGGGGAGAGCCUGGCGGGAGCUACGCCGCCCCGUGCUGCGCAGUCGCUUUUCGGACGUCCUGGUGUCCUGGUGGUGCUGGUGCUUUUUUAUUCUUAGGAAGGCUUUUCACAAAACUGCUUGAUGACUGCCACCUGACUGAAAGUAUUCUAAGACGCUGUUAACAGUGGUAAGAUAUACCUUGAUUUGAAAGAUGGGAAAAAUUGUGCUCAAUGUUAAGCUUUGAGGAAGUCAUCAUAUCCAAUUUAAGCCACACUUUACUUAAAGCUAAGAAAAACCAAGAAAUUGGAUCUUGACAAUACUUGGACUAAUUAAGUUCUUUCCCAUCAUUUAUCUGAAUUAUUAGAUCAAUCCCUAGAUAGUCCAGGUAAAUAAAUAAAUCAUUCUGCUUAGUUCUUUUACUAUGCUUUGAGUAAGUAUUCUGAUCAUUUAGAAGUUCUGCAGUUGGGUGGCACCUGUGGCUCAGUGGGUAGGGCGCCAGCCCCAUAUACCGAGGGUGACGGGUUCAAACCCGGCCCUGGCCAAACUGCAACCAAAAAAAUAGGCUUGUGGUGGGCACCUGUAGUCCCAGCCACUCGGGAGACUGAGGCAAGAGAAUCGCCUAAGUCCAGGAGUUGGAGGUUGCUGUGAGCUGUGACGCCAGGGCGACAAAGUGAGACUCUGUCUCUACAAAAAAAAAAAAAAAAAAAAGAAUUUCUGCAGUUAUCUUCAAAAUGAAAUUCACUUACAUUUUUAGCUUUUAAGAGCAAUCUUCAUCUAUUGCGUUAUGAAGAUUAUAUGAUCGGUGUGGAGAGAGGUAGCAAAAUUUUGAUGUUUACCUCCUCAAAUUUUUUGGUAAGGCUGGGUGAGGCAGCUCAUGCCUGUCCUCUGAGCACUUUGAGAGGUUGAAGGGGGAGGAUUGCUUGAGACCAGGAGUUUUAGGUUGACAUUGAACUAUGGUGACACCACUGUACUCUAGCCUGGGCAACAGAGCAGAACCUUGUCUGCAAAAAAAAUCACUUUAUUUUUAAUUUUUAUUUAUUUAUUUUUUGAAACAGUUUCUGUCGCCCUGCAUAGAGCUCAUGAUGUCAUGCAACCUCAAACUCUUGAACUCAAGAGAUCCUCCUGCCUCAGCCUUCUGAGUACCUGGGACUACAGGUGCCCACCACCACACCUGACUAGUUUUUCUAUUUUUAGUACAGAUGAGGUCUCAAACUGAAAUCAGUCCACCCACUCUGGCCUAGGAUCAUAGGUGUGAGCCACCAUGCCUGGCCACUGUUAUUGUUUUGUUUUGUUUUGUUUUUUAAUUGAAAUACUGUCAAACAUUAAGCAUUGUUC